rnacentral:rRNA from 1 species
AUUGAACGCUGGCGGCAUGCUUUACACAUGCAAGUCGAACGGUAACAGGCCGCAAGGUGCUGACGAGUGGCGAACGGUUGAGUAAUGCAGCGGAACGUGCCCAGUCGUUGGGGAUAACUACUCGAAAGAGUAGCUAAUAGCGCAUACGAUCUAUGGAGGAAAGCGGGGGACCGUAAGGCCUCGCGCGAGUGGGGCGGCCGAUGUCAGAUUAGGUAGUUGGUGGGGUAAAGGCUCACCAAGCCAACGAUCUGUAGCUGGUCUGAGAGGACGACCAGCCACACUGGGACUGAGACACGGCCCAGACUCCUACGGGAGGCAGCAGUGGGGAAUUUUGGACAAUGGGCGCAAGCCUGAUCCAGCAAUGCCGCGUGCAGGAAGAAGGCCUUCGGGUUGUAAACUGCUUUUGUACGGAACGAAACGGCUCUGGUUAAUACCCGGGGCUAAUGACGGUACCGUAAGAAUAAGCACCGGCUAACUACGUG